rnacentral:rRNA from 1 species
CUGAUCAGCAUGCCGCGUGAGUGAUGAAGGCCUUCGGGUUGUAAAGCUCUUUUGUCCGGGAAGAUAAUGACGGUACCCAUAGAAGAAGCCCCGGCCUACUCCGUGCCAACAGCCGCCGUAAUACUAAGGGGGCUAGCGUUGUUCGAAAUUACUGGUGGUAGCGUUCACCUAAGUUGCUGGGCAAGUCGCAUGUGAAAUCCCUUUGCUCAACCUUGGAACUGCCCUUCAGACUCCACCUCUUGACUGCGAUAGAGACUGCUGGAAUUCCGAGCGUAGAAGUGAAAUUCAUUUAUAUUCGUAGGAACACCAUUCGUAAAUGUGGCUCACAGCACCGAUACUGAAGCUAAUCUGCUAAAGCUUGGCUGGCACACAGGAUUAAAUACCCUGGUAGUCCACACCAUUAACUAUGCUGGCAAUACGUGGCCUAGACUAUGUCUCCUGGUCGCUGCUAACCUACUAAGUCUUCCACCUGGCGAGUACGGGCGCUUGAUUACCACUCAAAUAAGUUCACGGGGAUUGAAAC